GCCCUUAGAGUUUGAUCCUGGCUCAGAUUGAACGCUGGCGGCAUGCCUAACACAUGCAAGUCGAGCGGCAGCGCGGAAGAGCUUGCUCUUCUGGCGGCGAGCGGCGGACGGGUGAGUAACGCGUGGGAAUCUGCCCUUUGGUGGGGGAUAGCCCGGGGAAACCCGGAUUAAUACCGCAUAAGCCCUACGGGGGAAAGUGGGCCUCUGAUUCAAGCUCACGCCGAAGGAUGAGCCCGCGUCCGAUUAGCUAGUUGGUGGGGUAAAGGCCUACCAAGGCGACGAUCGGUAGCUGGCCUGAGAGGGUGGUCAGCCACACUGGGACUGAGACACGGCCCAGACUCCUACGGGAGGCAGCAGUGGGGAAUAUUGGACAAUGGGCGCAAGCCUGAUCCAGCAAUGCCGCGUGUGUGAAGAAGGCCUGCGGGUUGUAAAGCACUUUCAUUGGGGAGGAAAGUUGCACGGUUAAUAGCUGUGCGAGUUGACGUUACCCAAAGAAGAAGCGCCGGCAAACUUCGUGCCAGCAGCCGCGGUAAUACGAAGGGCGCAAGCGUUAAUCGGAAUCACUGGGCGUAAAGGGCGCGUAGGCGGCUAUGUAAGUCGGAUGUGAAAGCCCCGGGCUCAACCUGGGAAUUGCAUUCGAUACUGCGUAGCUAGAGUCCGGUAGAGGGUAGUGGAAUUCCCGGUGUA
rnacentral:rRNA from 1 species